AACGAACGCUGGCGGCAGGCUUAACACAUGCAAGUCGAACGCAUCGCAAGAUGAGUGGCAGACGGGUGAGUAACGCGUGGGAACAUACCCUUUUCUACGGAAUAGCUCUGGGAAACUGGAAUUAAUACCGCAUACGCCCUACGGGGGAAAGAUUUAUCGGGGAAGGAUUGGCCCGCGUUGGAUUAGCUAGUUGGUGGGGUAAAGGCCUACCAAGGCGACGAUCCAUAGCUGGUCUGAGAGGAUGAACAGCCACAUUGGGACUGAGACACGGCCCAAACUCCUACGGGAGGCAGCAGUGGGGAAUAUUGGACAAUGGGCGCAAGCCUGAUCCAGCCAUGCCGCGUGAGUGAUGAAGGCCUUAGGGUUGUAAAGCUCUUUCACCGAUGAAGAUAAUGACGGUAGUCGGAGAAGAAGCCCCGGCUAACUUCGUGCCAGCCGCCGCUGUAAUAC
rnacentral:rRNA from 1 species